rnacentral:lncRNA from 1 species
CCUCGUGCCCCACAUCUCCCCCAAGCUGUUCCGGGCACAGCUGCUCCAGCCCCAAGCCCACUGUCAGCCCCUGGUGCUGCUGGAGCCGCCCCACAGGUUCCGCCGCCCCCCAAGUGAGCUCCUGAACGCCCCCACCCACGAUUGGCUGCCCCCUGAGCUGUGGGAGCUGUGGGGACGCUGUGCCCAGCGCCCUGCCCCGCCUGCGGCCCCGCCCCCAGAGCUGCCCAGCGACUUGGAGGUGAGGCCCCGUAGAUCCCAAUCCUGCCCCAUAGAUCUACCCCAUAGACCCCAAUCCCGCCCCAUAGACCCACUACCCCACACCCCUGUCCCUCUCCAGGUGCUUCGGGAGGCCCUGGAGCCGAGUCUGCCCACCCUGAUCUCAGAAGUGUCCCUGGAGCCCCUCGAGGAGGAGCCGCUGGAGAGACUGUGAGUGGGGGCGUGGCUGGGCAGGGGUGUGGCAAAGGGCAGGGAGGUCACCAGCAGCCAAUUAAUGCUCGGCAGGGCCUGGGAAAGGGGCGG